AAUCAUAUGAUGGGGGCAUGCGUCUCGAAAAUUAUUGAAGCAUUCCAAGUAUUCAUAGAGGGUCUCAGAUUCAUCCUGAACGAUCAUAGACAUGUCCUUCCUCAGCUU